GGUCUUUUGGGCACAUGUAAAGUGGUCUGGGGGCAUCUAAAGCGGUGGGGCUGGAUCUAAAGUGGGUCUGGAGGCAUCUAAGGGAGAUCUGUGAGUGUGUAGAGGGGUUCUGGGGUCUCUAAAAAGGUCUGGGGCUGUGCUAGAGGCUUCUGGGCUCAUCUGCAGUGAGCCUGGGGGCCCUCAAAAGGGUCUGGGGACAGGUAAAAUGGGCCUGGGGUCAUGCAGCAGGGUUCAGGGGCAUCAGAAGGGGCAUUGUGGGCAUCUAAGUUGGCCUGGGGUCCUCUGGAGGUUGCCUCCCUCUUUCUGUCUCUGUUGUUUGUGCCUGGGUGAGAGUUCUCUGCUGUGUUUGUUCUCUCUUUUUGCAGGGAGCUGAACUGCUUUGCCCCAGCCCAGCUGCAGAUCUGCACUCAGCCUCAGCCCCAAGCCCUGGCAGGGUGGGAUGCUUUGGUACCAGGCCGUGGAGCUGUUUGAAAUGCAAUUGCUGCUUGCAGCUGGUUCAGAAAUGGAUUUCCUGUGGCUGUGGGGGCAGAAAUGUCUCUGUGCACACGCUCAGAGGACAGGUCCCUGGAUUGCAGUGCUGCUCCAAUGGCCUGUGGUGGCUGCAGGCAGCCGCGGCCCGGGGAGCCCAAGACUCAGCGUGUGGAAGGGUUGGGAGCAGCCCUGGGUGCCUGCAAGGAUUCGGGAGGCCCGAGCAGGUCUGAAACCCUGCCACGGAGAGGCACAGGCCCCGCAGCAGUGCCUGCAUUUCAGCAGCUGCCCAUCGGAGCUAAGCACAGCCUCGGCUCAGAGCUCAGGAGCAUGUCUGCUGGGCAGUGCUGGGGGCCAGGCGUCCCUCCUGUGUGUGCAUGGCCCACAUGGCAGCACCCUGCAGUCAGAGCUGACUGUGUGCACUGGAGGUGGAGUGUUGGAGUGGGAUCAGCUCAGAGCUCUGCAAGGUUUGCACUUUGCUUUCCACUCCACUGGCCAAGCCAGCCAGAUGUGCAGCAGCAGCAGGAUGGGCACGAGGGCCCCAGCUGCUGCGGUGAAUCCGUCAGCACGGACGCUGGUGCCGCUGCAGCCUGGCCCUGCAGCCUGGCAGGGUGAUCUCCUUUGGCUCGGCUCCUGUGGGCUCCAGCUCUCUCCAGCAAGCAUGGCAUGAGCUGAAGGAGCAGCAGGAGCAGCAUGGCCAUUCCCCAGGCAGCAGGAGGGUUCAGCCCAGCACCAGCUCAUGCGGGAGGAGCAGAUGCUGAGGAACAUCCCCCACGAGACGCAGGUGGCCAAAGAGGCUGGGUCAGGUGCCAAAAAGGAGACCUUCUUCACCUGCUUCUCCUGUGCAAGCUCUUCUGUCUGUCUGCUGAGAUGUUUCUGCCUGUUUCUCUGGCAGAGAAGUGUUUGCUUUUUUGGCUGGCGAGCUGACCAUCCGUACUACCGUCGCCUUGAAUGCCUCCAACCAGCAGUGUUUGCUGCCAGACAGACACCUGGAGAAGACAGAGGACAUGGUUAAGUUCAUGGAGGAUAUCUUGGAUGGUGCUGCUGAAGCACAGGCUGGUGAUGGACUUCUGCAACGAAGCAAGAGAGUCCUCUAUGAGGCCAAGGCUGCUGUAAUGGAGGUUGGAUCCUCGAAGGUUUUGCUCUGGGUUCUGCGAUGGAGGCAAAGAUGGAGCAGGAGCACUAACUGGAGCUGGUAACGGACCAGCAGCAGCAGCUGGUAAUGGAACUGGUAAUGGAGCAGAAGCUGGUAACGUAGAGUGGAGAGGAGGAGGAGGAAAGCAGCAGAGACUGCCCGGGGGAAGGCAGAGAGUGGGGGCAGGACGGCAGGGGCUGCCCGGGGAAAGGUGGAGGGCAGCGGCAGGAGGGCAGGGAAGAGGUACAGAGCUUUCAGGUGCUGAGCUUCAGCAGAAAGACCUGAUGGAAAAGAAAAGAGACUAACUUGUUUAGCAAAAGUACUCUCUGGAAUUUCCCAAGUCGCUUAUUUAUUGAAGGCAGUCAUUUGUUGGUCAUUGUCAUCACGAGAGAGGACCUUUUGGUUUGCGUUAGGGUGGUUUGGGCUUGCCUGUAACUCCAGGCCCCUCAGAAAUUGAUGGGGGGGGAAAACCCCAACCCAUGGAUGUUCUCUUGGUUGUCUUUAACAGAUAAACAAAGAGCAAGUGCGACUGAAAGAGCUUUGCAGAAAGCAGGAGUCAGCCACCUGCCACCCAUCCCCUCCUGACCCCAACCCCAGAAACCCAAAGCAGCACUUGGCACAGGAGGUCUCUCGUGUUGCAGUCUCACCUUCAAGCCCUGGAAUACUUUGCUUCAGCCAGCAGCAUGGGGUUGGAUACCAACAGCAGAGUCGACUUAACCUGUGACUAAGUGAACUUUAAGUGUUCUGACUCCACAGUGGAACCUGAUAAAGAAAGAUGUGAAUGGAA